rnacentral:rRNA from 1 species
UACGAAGGGGGCUAGCGUUGCUCGGAAUCACUGGGCGUAAAGGGUGCGUAGGCGGGUCUUUAAGUCAGGGGUGAAAUCCUGGAGCUCAACUCCAGAACUGCCUUUGAUACUGAGGAUCUUGAGUUCGGGAGAGGUGAGUGGAACUGCGAGUGUAGAGGUGAAAAUUCGUAGAUAUUCGCAAGAACACCAGUGGCGAAGGCGGCUCACUGGCCCGUACUGACGCUGAGGUGCGAAAGCG